GAUGAACGCUGGCGGCGUGCCUAAUACAUGCAAGUCGAGCGAACAGACGAGGAGCUUUCUCCUCUGACGUUAGCGGCGGACGGGUGAGUAACACGUGGAUAACCUACCUAUAAGACUGGGAUAACUUCGGGAAACCGGAGCUAAUACCGGAUAAUAUAUUGAACCGCAUGGUUCAAUAGUGAAAGACGGUUUUGCUGUCACUUAUAGAUGGAUCCGCGCCGGAUUAGCUAGUUGGUAAGGUAACGGCUUACCAAGGCGACGAUGCGUAGCCGACCUGAGAGGGUGAUCGGCCACACUGGAACUGAGACACGGUCCAGACUCCUACGGGAGGCAGCAGUAGGGAAUCUUCCGCAAUGGGCGAAAGCCUGACGGAGCAACGCCGCGUGAGUGAUGAAGGUCUUCGGAUCGUAAAACUCUGUUAUUAGGGAAGAACAAAUGUGUAAGUAACUAUGCACGUCUUGACGGUACCUAAUCAGAAAGCCACGGCUAACUACGUG
rnacentral:rRNA from 1 species